rnacentral:rRNA from 1 species
CAGUCGCCGCGGUAAUACCGAGGGUGCGAGCGUUAAUCGGAUUUACUGGGCGUAAAGCGUGCGUAGGCGGCUUCUUAAGUCGGAUGUGAAAUCCCUGAGCUUAACUUAGGAAUUGCAUUCGAUACUGGGAAGCUAGAGUAUGGGAGAGGAUGGUAGAAUUCCAGGUGUAGCGGUGAAAUGCGUAGAGAUCUGGAGGAAUACCGAUGGCGAAGGCAGCCAUCUGGCCUAAUACUGACGCUGAGGUACGAAAGCAUGGGGAGCAAACAGGAUUAGAUAUCCGUGUAGUCCCUGUCUCUUAACA